AUACAUAUAUACACACACAUAUAUGUGUGUGUAUAUAUGUGUACACAUGUGUGUGUGUAUGUAUAUAUAUAUG
rnacentral:pre_miRNA from 10 species